GUUUGAUCAUGGCUCAGGACGAACGCUGGCGGCGUGCCUAAUACAUGCAAGUCGAGCGGAUGCCUUCGGGCAUUAGCGGCGGACGGGUGAGUAACACGUGGGCAAUCUGCCCAUCAGACCGGAAUAACGCCUGGAAACGGGUGCUAAUGCCGGAUAGGGCAAUGGGAAGGCAUCUUCCUGUUGGGAAAGUGGCUAAGGCCACACUGAUGGAGGAGCCCGCGGCGCAUUAGCUAGUUGGUGAGGUAGAGGCUCACCAAGGCGACGAUGCGUAGCCGACCUGAGAGGGUGACCGGCCACACUGGGACUGAGACACGGCCCAGACUCCUACGGGAGGCAGCAGUAGGGAAUCUUCGGCAAUGGGCGAAAGCCUGACCGAGCAACGCCGCGUGAGCGAAGAAGGCCUUCGGGUUGUAAAGCUCAGUCACUCGGGAAGAGCGGUUAGCACAGGGAAUGGUGCUAACGAGACGGUACCGAGAGAGGAAGCCCCGGCUAACUACGUGCCAGCAGCCGCGGUAAUACGUAGGGGGCAAGCGUUGUCCGGAAUCACUGGGCGUAAAGCGUGCGUAGGCGGUUGUGUAAGUCUGGAGUG
rnacentral:rRNA from 1 species